UAGGGAAUCUUCGGCAAUGGGGGCAACCCUGACCGAGCAACGCCGCGUGAGUGAAGAAGGUUUUCGGAUCGUAAAGCUCUGUUGUAAGAGAAGAACGUGUGUGAGAGUGGAAAGUUCACACAGUGACGGUAACUUACCAGAAAGGGACGGCUAACUACGUGCCAGCAGCCGCGGUAAUACGUAGGUCCCGAGCGUUGUCCGGAUUUAUUGGGCGUAAAGCGAGCGCAGGCGGUUUAAUAAGUCUGAAGUUAAAGGCAGUGGCUUAACCAUUGUUCGCUUUGGAAACUGUUAAACUUGAGUGCAGAAGGGGAGAGUGGAAUUCCAUGUGUAGCGGUGAAAUGCGUAGAUAUAUGGAGGAACACCGGUGGCGAAAGCGGCUCUCUGGUCUGUAACUGACGCUGAGGCUGAAAGCGUGGGGAGCAAACAGG
rnacentral:rRNA from 1 species